rnacentral:tRNA from 1 species
GCUCACGUGGCUCAGUGGUAGAGCACUUCCUUGGUAAGGAAGAGGUCGCGGGUUCAAUCCUCGCCGUGAGCUCCA